CUAGAAGCCAAAAAGGGCGAGGACGCAUAUGCUCCCCUUAGAGCCUCUACACAGUCAGCUAUGCCAAACCUUGAGGUUAGAUCAAUGAGACAUAAUUUGGACUUCAGAUCUCCAGAAGAGUAAGAUAAUUUGUUAAGUUAAUAAAUUUAUGACAAUUUGUUACAGUAGCAAUAGGAAAUGAACACACUUUGCUUUACUUAAAUAAACACACCAAAAAUAUAGCCUCAGGGGUCAUGUCAGAGACACAUUUUUGUGUCCUGAACUAACCUGUUAGAGAAUUUACUGAUGAACAACUGUUAAUGGAAUUAUAUUAGUUUGGGAAACUUAUAGGGUGGUCUUAAACUAUCAACAAGUCUAUCACCUCCUGAAGUCUUUCUCCUUGGUUGAUUUCCAUUUUAAAAACACGGUGUUUUCCUUUCACAGCUGUCCAGUGUGUCGUGCUGGAGACUUCCCACAGCUUGCCUGCCACUACAGCUGAAGAAUAGGAAUUUGAGGACCAGUGGGAGCCAAGACUCUGUAAAAUCUGCUUAAACUAUUACAUGGAAAAGAGCUGACACCUCACAUGUCUGCACACAAACACAGACCUGUCAGCAGCGUCACUCCCAAGCGAGUGGAAUUAUCCAUCUCUUGCUGAUGGUAUAAAAACAACGAGUAGACGAAGCAGAUGAUUCAGAGGAGAACAGCAGCAUGUUGGAAAGCAUCUGCCUCAAGUAUCAUUUUUGCCAGGUCUCUGCAUGAGUGAGGUUGUAAUCAUCUGACAAGUGUAAGAGGUCUUCUCUGUGUCAAUAGUGCUCAAAGGAAACUGUGGUUUCAAGAUUUUUAAAAUCAUCUAGAGUGCUUUCCUCAUUCCAGAACACAAGUUUCCUCUCCAUUCUCAUUAAGACUUGGAGUUUUGCAUAGGGGAUCUAUUGAUGCUGCACAAUAAAUCUUUCUUGCCACUCUGCCACAUGUACAUUUAAAUUCUGGGACUGAUUUGCAGCACAAAUUGCACUAUAGCUGCAAGAGAUUAGGGUAGUUUCAAAGUUACCCUAAAAGACUUCUGAAUACUUUGAAUUAAUAGUUAACUGACCCGAGCCUGCCGUUUUAUUUUUCCAAGACUUCAAAAGUAGUUAACAAAAAUCAGCUAAUUUCCCAUGUUUAAAUAACAUACCACUACCUUAGUUAUCUCAUAGCCCACAGCUUUAUCAGCUCUAUCUUUCACCUAAAACUCAUUCCAUGUUCUCAACUGCGUGAGUUUUAGUAAUUGUGACACUACCAUAUGCCAGGUGUUAUCACCACUUCACUUACCACCAGAAAUGGGGUCAGGUCCUUGUUUUUGUCUGCUCAGUAUGUGUUUUAUUUCCAGAGGCGCAUCCUGAGGAUCUGUUUCCAGGACUAGUACCAGUGCCAAGAGCCUUAACUUGAAUUAUUAGCACUACCUACCCCCUGCCUUUGCAAAAGCAACUGAAGGAGGGAAAACUGCUACAAGGGUACAAUAUUGAGGCCAUAACUGCAGGCAGCUGGCACUGAGUUCCUCUCUAGGCCUGUAAAGGAGCCUGGAGAAUGACUCUCAGAAUUGCUCAACAAUGGAUUGACUGGGGAGGGCAUUUAUUCUUUAGCUCCCGCCUUCAUCCCACAUUAGUUGAGCAUUGGCAAUUGGGGCAUUAUUACCAGGCAUCCUGGGCUAUUGAAGUUCAAGCUGGCAUAUCUAUGGUGAAAGAGACCUAGUGUUAGCUUAAGGCCAGACACUUGUAACAUAAGCUAUGUUGAAUCCUGCACAGAGCUGUCAGCCACUUUUCAAAUAAGUGGCUGAUGCCAAGCAAAGAAGAGGUAGAACACAAAAAGUGUCAGAUACAGAAACUUGCUUUGCUAUAUACGUCUUGCAUAGUUUUUAUAAAGCUUGCAUUCAAAUUUGAAGUUAUUUAAAUAUAUACAUAAGUAAAUAGGCUACUAGAUAAAUAAAAAACUAAAUAAAUGUAAUUUUUGAAAAUCUACACAAUAGAGGUUUCUUACUGAAUGGACUUAGGAAUAUAAAUGUAAAUGUCCUGAUUAAUUUCUCUGAAUUUUUCACCCAGGUUGCAUAUUCUUGGUAAGAGACCGUAUUUUUGAUAGCACUGAAAGAAUAAUAACUUAAGGCUCUUUCUCUCUUUGUCUCUAAUCUUGGUUAGACAGCUUGGUUCAUUCCCUAGCACACUGUUGCUUUAAUUAGUUGCUAGGUGAUGAAUAUCAUUCUAGAGUAGCUGGCUGCCUCUUCUAUUGCAAGCAGCAGGAUUCCUGGGACCAGGGCCAAACUGAGCUCUGGAAUGUUUGAUAAUAUGCCAACAUCUAAACAAUCCUUUAGCUAUAUGUAUUACCUUGAACAUGCUAUUUAUUCUUACUUAAUUCAAAGAAAGUUCAGAGGUCUGAUUAUUUUAAUUGCAGGAAAAACAAAGCAGUUUUGAAAAAACAGUACCUGAAUAAAACUAUAUUAAAUAGAUAACAUUUAAAAUGACAAUUUAUUUUCCAUUCUUACUCUCCAAUAGAAUUAAUGCUGAAGGACUGUUAAACAGAAUUUUGGUUUCAUACUGUCUCUUUCUGUUUAUGCUCAUACCCCAUUCUACUAAGCUUCCUCUCAUUAGCUUCACAUUUAUAUCACUUGUAAUAGCAAUAGCUGUAAUUUCUACAGUUCCUAUUAUGAACUAUGCACUGUGAUUUAUAAGAAUAAUUGAAAAAUCAGAGUUAAUUCAUAUUCAGCAUUAAAACAAAUCUUAAGUAUAGUCACAGUCAUAUAAUCCAAUGAAAUAAAAUUGUUCAUGUUGUAAGUCUAUGUUUUUUAUAUGCCCCAUGUAUUUAAAAAACAAUAAUUUUGAUACAUAUAAAGUUUUAAAAAAGAUCAAAUGCUUUAUGUUGUCAUUAGAAUAAUAACAUAAAUUAAAGGUUUGCAUUUUAAAAAAUUUUUUUUUCUGAAAGAAACUGAGACAAAUAUUGAGGCUAAUUAACUUUUCUAAUACCACUUUCCUAAAAGCCCAUGCUAUUAACCCAAACCUACAUAAUGACAAGCUUGUGCAAUAUCUAGAUGGCAUAAAGUCCUCAAAACGUUAAUAUUUAUUACAGGAACCUCAAUAUUUAUUACAGACAUGUAUCUCUGUCUACACACACACAUGCACAUACACACACACCUCAAGUCAAGUAUUUAAAAUAUAAAACGUUUUUUAAAAAAGGAAAAAGAAUUAAAGAGAAUAAAUUUUAGUAUUUUGACAUACCGGAUAAUUUCAAAGAGGAGGGAAAAUAGUAGAAAAUUUGAAAGAGCUUGACAUGUUUGGCAUUUAAAAAGCAGCUGGUUCAAUAGAUGGAUGGAUGGAAAUGUGGAUUAUAGACAGCUAUAUGUAGAUGUUUCUGAAAUGAAGUUGUAGGCAGAAAGUGACAUUGAUUGGACAGGUUAAUAAAACUGAGUGUACGUAGAUUUCUGCUUUUAAAGAGGAAUUCAUGGUAGUGAUAUGCACAAGAUGAAGGAAUGAUCUCAUUGUAAUGAACACAAGCAAUCAUUUUCUGAUUAUGUAAUAAUCAAGGGCAUUUUGGAGGCACCACGCACAAGAAGCACAGAAGCAAGUAGGCUUUUCUAAAGGACAUAACUGAGUGGGCCAAGAAGAAAACUAUUGUCAACCUGUAGGAUGAUGAGAUUUUAAAUAUAUGCUGAGCCACCUGUUAAUUAUUGUCUUAUAUGAAUAUUUGUGUAUUUUAGGGUGUUAAAGUAUACUUACAAGGGCAGAAAUAAAGAAUGGGAUGCAUAAGAUUGAUGAAGUCUUGGUAAAUGAGUAUGAAACAAAUGUGAGCAUAAUGAAUAAAAUAGUAUGCUAAUAAUUAAAAUAGAAUAUAUUCGGAAGCUUAUUUAAUUAUAUUAUUUUUGUUUCAUUUUAGUCCACAGUCUCCAUUUUGCUUUGAAUUUCUUUUCCCCGUGGAAUCUUUAAACUACAUUUUUUUUCUAUUUUACAUAGAUUCCUUAACUAUGACAUGGACAGUUAAUAAUUUUAAAAGUUUUAGUAAUACUAAAUAUUUUGUGUACAGGUUCUACUGAGUGAAAUAAAAAUAUAUGGGUUAAAACCUAAUUUUUAGUCGUAUUAAUAACCUAAACCCAAGGAUGUAUAAUAUAAGAGAUGAAGCCCUGAGAACCAAAUACCUAUUUGGUUAAAGUAUUCAUAUAAUGAAAAUUUUUAUUGAAAAUGUUGCUCACUUUUCUAAUUUUAUAAGCAGUACAAAUGCAUGGCCAAAAUAAUGAUUGUGAACAUAUAAAGCACAUGAAUAAAUUUGUUCUUUUUGGGUUUUUUUUAGACACAGUCUUGCUCUGUCACCCAGGCUGGAGUGCAGUGGUGUGUCCUCGGCUCACUGCAACCUCCACCUCCCAGGUUCAUGUGAUUCUCCUGCCUCAGACUCCCAAGUAGCUGGGAUUACAGGCGCAAGCCACCAUGCCUGGCUAAUUUUUAGUAGAGACAAGGUUUCACUAUGUUGGCCAGGCUGGAAAAAGUUUUUGAUUUAAAACAAAAGUACCUGAAACUUACCCAGAAAUUGCCAUUAUUAACACAAAAUAACACAAUUUAAUUUUAAUUUAAUUUUACUUGGAAAGGACUGAAUUAAAACUAGAAAAAAUUUCAGUCUUUAGGAAAAAAUAUAAUUACUUCAUAAACAGAAUUUGGUUUUUACAAAAUGCCUUGGAAGUUUAUAUUAUGUAUCUAGAAAUUAAUAUCAUUAUCUGUGUUUAUUUUUAACCUAUUUCUAUAGAGGCUUAAGUAAAAUUUGCUACAUAAAGAAACUUAAUUAGUGAGUUCAUAAAAAUAAGCUACAUUGGUCACUGCCAAUAUGGCUUGAACUAAGUAUUUGGGCCUCAGGGUUUCAUCUAGACAUUAUACAUCCUUGGGUUUAGAAUAUAUACCUGUACACAAUAUAUUUAAUAUUAUUUAAACAUUUUAACUAUAUUAUUUAACUGUCCAUGUCAUAGUCAUGUAAUCCACGUAAAAUAUCAACAAAGAAAAAAAUCAGUGUGGUUUAAAUACUCACAGAAAAAAGAAAUACAAAGCAAAAUGGACACUGUAGCCUAAAAUGAAACAAUAAUGUAGAGCCUCUGAUUUUUUUUUUCCUAACUUUAUGUUAUAAAACAUAAGCUGAGUUUUCUCAUGAUGUUCUAAGAGAAAUUAGUAGGAAAAAAUUAACUUGUAAACUUAAUAUCUUGUAGAAAUCAUAAGAAAACAAAUCCAGAUAAUAGUAAAAUUACUGUAACAAGUUAGUGUUAUAAACUUAAAAGCAUUAUACAUAAAGAAAUUACUAAUGAAACUAUAUAAUCUUUGCUAAAUUAUUAAAUCAAUAAAGAUCUGGCUUCCCUGUUGCAGAAACCACCAUUUUUUACACUUGAUCAAUUUUAAAUCAUGCCACAUUUCAGAUUGUUUAAUACUGAAAACAUUAUUUUCUUGCUUAACAUUUGUUAAUUGUCUCAGAGCAUCUAUUUCCCUUUCCUUAUUCCAAUUGAAGAAAUACUUCGUUACUUUUACUUUUAAGCUCUUUCAUAUAAUCACACUAUGUAUUUAAUAUACUGGCAAGAUAUAACCAGGUGGGACAUUUAACACUUUGUCUGAAAAUUUACUUAGCUAACUCAAUCAGUUUUCGAUGCACAUUUUCUAAUUUCCACAUGUCUGCAGGUGAUAUUGUCGGUACUAUUUAUGUUUUCUAUAGAUAAAGGGUCACCCUUUCUCCAAGUUCCAAUAAUAAUUUCCUUAUUUCCUUUUGAGCAUUCACCAGCAGCAUCUUCAAAUUCCAGAUUUCUACCAAUAAUCUAUUUAAGGCAAUUUUUUCUUUCUAUCCACAAAAAAAUUCACACAGAUUUCUGACCCAUAGAAACUGAGAAAUUAAAUGUUAGUGGUAUAACCUGCUAAGUUUUGGGGAAUUUUGUCACACACUAUAGGUAAUGAUGUAGAUUUGGGUUCCAGAAGCAGGGUACUUUCUUAACAAAUACAUAAAAAUAUAAGGUUGGCUUUGGAACUGGGCAGUGGGUGUUUUCCAGAGGCAU
rnacentral:lncRNA from 10 species